rnacentral:misc_RNA from 1 species
GAAAAUUCAAUCGGCGCCUUCUUCUCCAACCCUACAAUCUCAUCAAAUUUCACUCUUCUUCCAUUAAUAUCAGUUUUAAGAGAUCGAGAGCUGCGAUGUUAGGUGUUUUAAGGCGCAAAGCUAUUUCUAGCGCCUCUUUUACUUCGUGUGUAAGGAAAUCUCUGCAUACGGUUCGACCUGCAGUAUGUAAAUCUAGAAUUCCAUCUGCUGCUGCAGAAGAGAUAUCAUUGCUUACUAGACAAUGUGGUCAUGUGCGAAAUUUCAAUCAGCUUGUGCUGCCUGGGUGCUCAUCAAAUUUGCGCCCAGAAAGGGCUGUGACCAAUCUUUUCUCAAGUCCAACACUAUCAAAUUGGAGCAGGCCUUUCUGCGCAAAUAGUGGUGAUACCGUUGACGCUGUUGUUCCAUAUAUGGGUGAAUCCAUUAGUGAUGGGACACUGGCCAAGUUCCUGAAGAAUGUUGGUGACAGAGUAGAAGUUGAUGAGCCAA